rnacentral:rRNA from 1 species
UACGAGAGCCUCGAGCGUUAUCCGGAAUUAUUGGGCGUAAAGGGUGCGUAGGUUGUUCUGUUAGUCUUUUGUCAAAGCCCGGGGCUUAACCUCGGAUUCGCGGAAGAAACGGCAGAACUUGAAAGUGCGAGAGGUGUACGGAACUCAUGGUGUAGGGGUGAAAUCCGUUGAUAUCAUGGGGAACACCAAAAGCGAAAGCAGUACACUGGCGCAUAUUUGACACUGAAGCACGAAAGCAUGGUUAGCGAAUGGG